rnacentral:rRNA from 1 species
CCUACGGGAGGCAGCAGUGAGGAAUAUUGCACAAUGGGGGAAACCCUGAUGCAGCGACGCCGCGUGAGUGAAGACGUAUCUCGGUAUUUUAAGCUCUAUCAGUAGGGGAGUAAAUGACGGUACCUGACUAAGAAUCCCCGGCUAACUACGUGCCAGCUGCCCCGGCACUACGUAGGAGGCAAGCGUUAUCCGGAUUUACUGGGUGUAAAGGGAGCGUAGACGGGUGAGCAAGUCAGAAGUGAAAGCCCGCGGCGCAACGGUGGGACUGCAUUGGAAACUGGCCGGCUAGAGUGCUGGAGAGGUAGGCGGAAUUCGUGGUGUAGCGGUGAAAUGCGUAGAUAUUAGGAGGAACACCGGUGGCGAAGGCAGCUUACUGGACAGCAACUGACGUUGAGGCUCGAAAGCGUGGGGAGCAAACAGGAUUAGAUACCCGAGUAGUC